UAGACAGGACAGAAUACAGCAAGUGGUAACAGCCAACCAGGGGCAUCCCCUGAGAGGUAUGAUAACCGCUCAGACAAAGAUGACCAUUUUUUAUUCUCUUGGCACCGUUUCAUAAAUUUCCAAAGCAUAGGAACAAGGUCAGUUCUGUAGGCGAGCACAGUCAUAAUCCUUUCAAUUGGCAAUGUGUUCAAGACAACAUAUAAAAACCCGCAAACUGCACCAACGGCUGCAACCUCCAUAUCAUCUGGCCCAUUGGCAGAUGAAAUAUCUCUAAAUAAUAUAUUUGUCUGCAAAUGUCAAAAAAUGACAUUUCAGGAUCAAUUUUUAAAUAAAUAAAUUGGUAAAGCAAAAUUUUGAUGGCACUCAAGAUACAAAAGUCAUUUGCAUGAUGAUAUACCAGUUGCAGAAGGAAGCGAGUAUCUAUGGAAUUAUAAAUUUGUUGAUCCAAUUUCCUAUCCAAAGCCACUUCCAUGACUUCAUCAUUGCCAGUAAUAUCAUCCUCAGCAAUCAUAGAAUCUGAAAUUAACACUGACCAGCUUAAAAACAAAUGGUACAGAGAGAUAUAUAAAACGGAAAGGAGAAGCAAAAUUGUAAAUCAUGUAUAUGUAUAUAUGUAUGACAUAAAAUAGUCUACUGGGCCUAACAAAUGAAAAUAGAAGAUAUUAAAUCCAAUACCCACUAUCGCAUACUUUGAAAUUAAAAAAAAAUAAAAAAAUAUUAGUAGCGCCCAAAUGCCCAAACACCCUUCCUCACACAUAAACCCUAGCCUCCCCGUCUAAUUUUCUCCACAGGAAGAUUAAGGAAAAGAGCAAAAAAAAUUGUGGUGGAAGGUGUAUUAUAUUGCUGUGUGAACAGACGAAUCCAAGGAUUAAAAUUAAUGGUAUUUUAUGGACCACCUAUAAUGGUGGUCCAUAUUUGCCUUCACCUUCUUUUAUCCAUAAAAUGGAAGAUGCAAAAUGCGAAGAAAGUUAAUAACAUUCAAUGUAAGAAGUUAGAAAGAAAAAGAAAAUCUUUAAUCAAAGCAAACUCUGUGAUUAGAAAGCAUACUUUCUCUAUUGUCAGAUCUUGUCAAAGAGUGGUGUGCCUCCAGUAAAACUGUAGUAACAGCUGCAAGGUUUAUGGCCUGAACAGAAAUAAAUACAAAUCAACUUUGAAACAUACACACGUUUGCAUGCAAACGUUUCGAACUUCAACUGCAUAAAAAAUCGAACAACUUAAACCACCACCAGUCUACCAAUACCCCACCCCCUCGCAAAUCAAAAAAUAAAUAACUUUCAAUGUCAUAUGGUCAUAUGUAAAGACAAAGAUUUAUGUAGAAUGAUCUGAAGAUAUUAAAAAGACUAUACAUAAGGAUAUAUGGAAUAUCCAAAACUUAUUUAGUAUGCAGAGUCUUAGAGCUUUAGCCCUCCAAGCCUCUAAAGGAGUGUUAAGAUAAACAAUUUAAUAAGUGUGUUUAUUCAGUAAAAAUUUAUCAUACCAGAGCUUAUGUUGGCAACUUAUUUGUAUUCUCAACAUUUCUUUUCACCGUCAAAUUAGAAUUUGGGGAUGAUUUAAAAUUGGAGAGGAUGCGGGUAAGUUUAGCAUUAAUUGUUUCCAUAAGUUUCCCAAGAAGCUUAAGAUAAGAUUUUUAGAACAUUUACACGAGUGCUCAAGUCAUCAGACGAGGGUGAAGCCAGAUAAGCUCUUUAAAAUGCCCCAUAAAUCUGUUUAAACCUGUUAGUGCUUUCUCCUAUCCUAAGCAAGAAAUCAGCCUUAAUCUCUAUAUAAUAUUCUCAUUUUAUCUUUAAUGUGUUUCUUUAUUUAUACAAUAUUUUUUUUUUUGAAAUAUUUAUUUAUACAAUAUUGAAAACCCGUAUAUCCAGCACUACAACAGCCUUUAACCUAAUCCAAGAUAAGUCAUAAAGGGAGAUACAUGAAAGAUAUCAAACAUAUAGUAUUGAUAACAAAUGGUACAUUGUAGGAUUAAUAAGCUUACCAUAUCAAAUGAACAGUCAGGUUGAGACAAAGCAACUCCGCCAAUUUCUAAUAUAUUUCCAAGAAGACAGGCAUAGGUAGGAAAUUCAUCUGAUAUAUCCUUAGGUAGAAAAUUGAUCAGAUUUGGCACAAAAGUUGCCAUUUGAUGAACGUAAUGUUGGCUCAUGCCCUGUCUUGCAAAAACCUGUGUACCCAAAAAUAAUCCAACUUUUCUUAAUUAUUGCCAAAGUUUGUAGAAAAUAAAUGUCUCCAAGAUAUAAACAGGCGCACAAAGGAAACUCCAGCAUGAAAGUUGGAGAAAUAAAAGACACAAUGAUUAUCGUGGACAAAGAGUCCCACUUCAGAUGAGAUAUGGCCUGAAAAUGUGUUCAUAUGUGAAGGGUAGUCCUCACCUUACAAGCCGGUUUUGUAGGAUUGAAUGGGACAGUUCUAAUGACCCAAUAUAACAAUUGUAAGAUGGUAAGUGAGUCUGUCAAAGAUUUGUUUGCCCACUGGCAACUCUUCAUUGUAUGCAUAUUUUUAUUCCUUUUAGUCUUUUAUAUAUCUUGAUUAUCUUAGGUUGUUAGUUAAUUUUAGGUCAAGAUCUGUUGGCUCACUGACAACUCUUCAUCAUAUGCCGUUUAUUUUAGGAGUUACUUUAAAAAAACAUUAGUACUAAUAUAAUUAAUAAUAUUAACUAAUAAUAAAAUGGCAAAGUAACAUAAUUAAAUAAAAUGUUAUGUCAAAAAAUACAAGUAAAUAAAAUUAAUAUUAUUUAGUAAUAAUAGAACAGUAAUUAAAUGUUAAAGUAAAAUAAUAAUAAUAAUAAUAUAAACUAACGGUAAAUAAAUACUUGUAUAUAAUUAGUAUUAGUAUUAAAUUACUUAAAUAUAAUUUAUAAAUUUGUAAAUAUAAAUUAUUUAUGCAUAAAUAUAUAUAUAUAUAUAUAUGUUUAACGAAAAUUAUUUUAUUAAAUAUAGAAUGAAUUAUUUAGACAAAUACAGAUAAAUAUUUAAACAGCGGCCAUCCCACUAUACGCUAUCACGCUAUCCCACUUUCGGGGUCGGCCGCUCCACUAUCCGGGAUUGACAACUGUGGGAUUUACUUGGUUAUGUAUGAUAUAUAUAAGCUUAUUGCACAUUGACAUGCUAUUGAUUGCUGCUUGGAGAAGUUACAAGUCUAGUUUUAAGCACUAAAUUCUUUGAUUGUGUACUUUAAUAAAGUACUACAAGGAAGGAAUCUUAAUAAAAUAGAUACAUAUCAUUGAUAUAAUUAAUACCUCUCUUUUAACUUCUAGUUAUCACAAAGGAGAGUACAUCAAAUAUAAUUAGUAUAAAAAAUACCUGUCUUAAGUUCGGAAAAACAUGCCAUAAGAAAGGAAUUGUAAGGAUCUGCAAUGAGAAGCUAUAUCUUGGAUCAAUGUCUGAACAGAUACAUGGUUUCUGACGAAUGUGACACAUUACACCUGUAAGCACAUGCUCCAAAGACGACCCGAUACAUUUUUCAGCAUUAUCCUGCAUUAGAUCAUUCAAGUAGUUUAUGCAUUUAAGUGAUGGAUCAAAAAGUCAGAUUAUCUUAUGAUGAAAGGAGGGAACCGAAAGAUAAAAGACUUUGAAUUGUGAUUAUGGUUUGAUUUUAUACAAAAGACUAAACAAGAGACUCAGGUCAUUUUCUGCCAUAUAUCCAAAUGUUAACCAUCUUCCUAAUCAAGGAAAAUUAUUACCAGAUCCGCACACAUCUCAAAGAUUAGCAGGAAGGUCAAAUUAAUUAACUAUACCCCCAGGUUAGACAUUUCUUAGUUGUUGGUGUGGCAAAUCAAUACUUAAAUUUUCCGCAUGUUGAUCAUUGGAAAGCGGUUGUCAAAAUAUUGAGAUUAAUUAAUAUGUCACCAAAAUAAGGAUUAGUAGUAUACAACAACGAAAUUGGGAUAGAUAUGUGAAAAUUGCAAGGAGGUGAUUUUUUAAAUACUUUAACAUGUUCAUGUGUUACCUCCUUGUUUUUUAAAAGAAUAGACUUUCAGAAAAGCUAAUCCUAAUAGCUUUUCAUAUUAGGGAUCACAAAAAUGAUUUCAUUGAUAAAAUGGUUUUUUAAAAAUUCUACACAAACACUAUUAAAAUAAUAAAAUUGAUUUAAAAAAAAAUUAAAUAACAAACACUAUUAAAAUAGAUUUUUAACAAUACAUGAUUCAAGUAGCAUUAGAAUUCACAUCAGGACUUAUUUUGAAUUGCAUUCUUCUCCUGAAUGUGUUUUGUUCAUUCAAACACAUUCAGAACUUCGUCAUUCAUAUUUUAUUCACAUUUUUCUACCAAGUCAUACCUUUAGUUUAAAAAUCUUCAUAAAUAACAAAUUAAAUCCUAUAUCAAUAAAAUCAACAUGACAGGGAUUAAUUUUAUAGGGUCCCUAGAAAUAAAAAACAGAAACAAAGUACUUUGUUACCUUUCCUGUAAGAAUAAUCUGUCUAAGUAGAGCAAAUCCAUUGUUUUGAGAGAAAUGUCCAACUAUCACACAGCUCCAUGGCAAUUUGAGAUCUAUCAACAGUACUAUAAUUUCCAAUAAAGGAAUAGCUGAUGCAUUAGACUCCUUCGGAGUCAAUAAAAGUUGAUCCUUCAACUGAUUUCUGGUGAGUAAAAUAAUAUAUAAGCAAGAUAGCAAAAAAGCUCCAAAAAAAAAAAGUAGCCAAACCGAAAGUAGACCCCAAGUUUUAUAAUUAACAUAAUUCAGGCUUGCUUAAAAGAUGGUACUUAAUUUUUCAUUUAUAAAUAAGAAGUGAAUACACAUACAAUAAAAAGGUAGUGAGAAACAAAAAUUAGACAUUGAGACAGCAGGUAAGAAAUAUAAAAUGUUGAAUAAAAAAGUUUUAGUUACUGGGAAGUGUUGUAAUGAUUUUGUAAGAAGAAAAAACUAAUUUAUUCAGGGUCCCAAUUGUUGGAACUUUCACUCGACAAGAAACAUCAAAGAUAAAAAACAGAUGAGCUAAAUCUUUUUUUAUGUUUUCAACCAUUUCCAAGUCCAACCAUUAAUAUGCUUUUGCCCAACAACUUGGACAUUUCGGGGGAGUUGGUCCAUGACACUCCUAGGUCCUAACAGCAUUGUUCUUCUAUUAAAAAAUAGCACAAAGGGACCUAGAUCCAGUGGCACUAUGCAGUGUAUGGGAAUGUUUGCUUCUUCAAAUGGGCACCAAUGCAACUACGAUAUUAUGUGAUGGAGUAGAAGUUAUUUAUAGUUUCUCUAUGGUGAUUUGCUCGGGAUAACAAAGUCCUAAUCUCUGAUAUGCAGUGUAUGAGCAGCCUUGUUACACUACCUUAUCCUCUUUAACUGCAGGCUUUUGCCUUUAGUUUUUUUAUACUUUGUUAAAGAAUUUGCUAUACUUUAACCAAGUGGUUUCAUUGGUCAAGCUUUACUUACCUCAUGGACAAACUCCGAACUACCAGGGGCCAUUUUCCUCUCUUUUGUUAACAAAAUUCCUGAACUUAAAUAUUAAAAAAUGGAUGGCCAAAUUGAGAUUCAACUGAAAAUACGUAGUAGCCAUUUACAUUUCAAACUCUCCCAAAAAGCACUCUUCCCCAAGAAACACCCUCUGAUUUUUCUCUCUGAUCAAAUCAACUCUCCUUAAAACUUACUUGUUAGGUCAAAAUUUGUUUCUUAUCUUUAUUACCUAACAAACCCCCCUCACACAAACAUUUUGGGCUAGAAGCAUGGAGGAUAUGCAAACCCACUCAAACUGGUGUUUCAAACUCAAAUUUAUUAUGCAUACCACGGCAGAGAUUGAUACCAUGUCAAAGACCAACUCUCCAGAAAGCUUAAGUUAUUUGAUCCAGGAUUGUUAAAAGAACAAACUACAACUAGAACCAACUCAACCUAAUUUUAACGACUCAAAAGGAUAGUUAAUGUUGAUUAUAAUCAUCUCUCUCUUGCUUAUAUAUCUUUGCUGUAACACAAGAUUUCCAUUCUAAAUUAUUUGAGUGAUAAUAUAAACUAAAAGUUGUGUUCUAAUAAUAAUAAUAAUAAAUGAAGAGGAAAGUAACGGCAAGAGAAUAAGAAAAGCCAAAAGCCCAAAAUUAGUGAAUUAAAAUAAAUAAGUAAAGCAAACCUAUUAUGAUGUACUGCACGAAUACAAUUAUAUGCAAGUUUCUUCACCCGGUAGUUCACGAGAGCACAUACAGAUGAGUAAUUUUCACCAGCAAAAAGUCUCACAGCAUUCCCUGUUGCAUAUAUUUAAAUUCAACGUAUUAAGUUUUAUUCACCGCAGUAAAACUUGCAUAAACAGUAAGGAUGCAGGCAGAUAUCUACACAAUUUCAAAUUGAUUUUAUUCUAACAAGCACCAAAGACAAAAAUAGUAGCACGCCGAAAAAUAAAAAACAAAAACUACCUAUUUAUGUUUGCAUGCAUCCUAAACCAAACAAUCAUCAAUAGGCUUACAGACGGCAUGAUAGGCAACCUCUUAGUUAGUUAAAUAGUUAUUACUAGUUAAUAAAACGGGCAUGAUAGGCAUGGGGAAACAAACACCAACAAAAGCCAUUUUCCACUAAGUGAUUGCUAUAUGGAUCAAAUGAGAAAGCAGUUUAACUAUAAGUGAUUGCUUUGCACAAUAGAUGCUAUCCAACUUCUCUUUGAACCAGCAAUUCCCAAUCCUAUCAUGUCUUGUGUAUCUACUCAAUCCAUUGUAAGAUUCUCAAAUAUCUACAAUAUUGAACUUCUUUUCGUUGUCUAUUUCCCACCUGACAUUCAGUCCAAUAAAACAAUGGCAUGCAGUAAAAAUUUCAUUUAUGCUUCAAUAGUACAAAUAAUACCCAAAGCAUUCUCCAUUUUACUCCCUCCGGUCUAUUUACAAGAAAGAAUUGACUUUUUAGGUUCAUUGAAUAAUUUAUGGACUCGGCCUAGAAUAUAGACCAAAUACAUCAAUUAUUCAAUGAAUCUAAAAAGUCAAUUGUUUCUUGUAAAUAGGACCAGAGGGAGUAUCCAUCUCAAUUGAAUUAUUAGGCUUACAUCUGCCUCUUUAUCCCAUUCAUCUUUUACUAUAUAUAUUUAUAUAUUUAUAUUUAUUUACAUAAAAAGAUACUACGUUUUUGUGUAACAUGUUUUCUUCCAAUUUUACCCUUCACAUAACUUAUUUUUACUACUUUUCCCUUUCUUACCAAUCAAAUGAUUUAAUUUUUAAAUAAAUAAUCAAAUAAAAUUUUAAAACUUCUGUUAUUUUUAUUGGUAAAAGUGGAAGGACAGGAAGGUUACUGCCCGUUUUGACACUAGUAUUAUGUAAUGGACAUGUGAAACUUAAAACAUACAACUUGUGUGGAAUGGUGUGAACUGUGAUUGCCAAAACUAGUGUGCCUGCCAAUAUGCUUAACGUAUAUUCCAAAACAAAACAAAAAAGGACCAAGCCCUUAAUUGUACUAUCCCCACUGUGGUUCUCAAAUAUAGCCACAUUAUUUUAUUUCAUAUAAUGCCAUAGAUAUUUAGGAAAAGGAAAAUACAGAAAAGAAUAAAUAAAGGAUCAAGCCCUUAAUUGUAAUAUUAUUAUCCCCGCUGUGGUUCUCAAAUAUUCCAACAUUAUUUUAUUUCAUAUAAAGCCGUGAAUAUUUAGGAAAAGGAAAAUACAGACAACUUACAGAACAGAUAAAAUACAUAAAUAAUAUACUCUUUGACAUCUUCAGGAAAAAAAAUAACAUUAUUAUUCUUUGGCAUAUAGGAUUUCCUACCCAAUGACUUUUACUUUUUGUUGUUUGUUUAAUGGAAAUCAUUUUUGGCAGCUGGAUAAAUCAAAUAUAAUAGAAAUAGAUGCUCAAAUCCACAAAAUCUUGCUUAAACUUACAACCGAAGUGCAGUAGAAAAUAAACUGUAAAAGCAAUGACAAAUGUGGAAUAACAAUUACCACUCUCUUGAACAAACUUUAGAAGCAAUCGGCAAAUUUGCAAAAGAACUAAAAAAUCAUCAUGGUUUUCUGCGUUAAAGAAAUAUAGGAACUGGCGGAGGAAAUCAGAAUCUGGACCAAAAGCUUUCCUGAAUGCACAAAAAAUGGUAUUAAAAUGAGCUGCAACAGUUUAGUAACGUUGAAGCAAGUCGAUACUAAAAUAAAAUACAAUAAUGAUUUUUUAGAAACUUUUACUGUAUGGAUGUAAGCAGCUUUCAGUUUCAUGGAAUAAUAAAGAGAUGGCAAUCAAACUUCACCUGUCAACAUUAAGGCAGUUCUUCCCAUAGAUAUGAAGGAAUUUCUGUCGUAACUUAGACUGUUCCGUUCUGACAACUUUUUUCGCUCUGAAGCAUUUCUGUGAAAAGAAUCAGUUAACAAUUUGCAAGAAAAUUAUGAAUUGUAGAUCACCAUUCAUCAGAAAUGCAUCUCCCCAGGUGUAGGUGUACAUUUUAUCAAGUAGAGCACCUCUUGAAACAGAUAUAGAUCGGUAAACUCUAAAAUUAGGAAAUGCUAAAUCAUGGGUUCAUAAGAUAAAGUAAAAAAUGCAUCAUAACUAACAAAAUCAAUUCAAUUACUUAUUUUGAGUCUUUGACUGAAGAGGUAAAAAACAGAAAAUAGGUUUAUCAUAGUUCACUAGAAACAACUUCUUUCAUGUUGAAAUCAUUAAGUAUGCAGAGUUUAAUUAAUGAAAUCGGCCAGUUUUAAUAAACCACAACACCAUCAUUGUGAUACAAUCUCACAUCGUUUCCCUAAAAUGUUGGGGGUGAAGGGUUGGUGAGAUUAAGAGGUUAGGAUGAAGAAGGGAUAUCCUGGUAGAGACUAGAGAGAAAUGUCAUUGUGAUGUAUUAUUAUGCUGAAUUUCCUCUUAUCCAAAGACUCAGCAGGAGGAAAAAUUAUAUUUCCUCCGGUCACAUUUACAAGCAGAAAACAAUUUUUUAGGUUCAUUGAGUAACUAAUGUAUUUUCAUUUGAGUAACUAAUGUACAUUAGUUACUCAAUGAACCUAAAAAAUUGUUUUUUGCUUGUAAAUGUGACCAGAGGGAGUACAAUUCUGCAGGGCAUUCAAGAGAUACUGCUCCUCUCCCUAACUACUUUCCAAUCUUUUGUCACCUAUUUAUCCAAUCCUUCUUUCCCUGUAAAGUAAAAUAACUAAAUCAAGUUGUUACUCUCCAACUCCCCUAUUCUUCGUAGUAUAGACUCUUUUCAUUAUGGGCCUGCUAUCUUAUACAGAAUCAAAAAUUUGGGAAACGAGAGGUAUGAUGAAGGCAGGAGGACUCUCCUUAGGAAGUCUCACUAGUAUAAUAUUGGCUAGAUAAGAAUUAAAAAAUAUGAUCCUAUCUUUGCACAUGGAUGUUGAAUGAUAUAUUAAGAUUCAUUGAAUAACAUAUGUAUUUGACCUGUAAUAUAGACCAAAUACAUCAGUUAUUCAAUGAACUUAAAAAGAAGAAUGUUGCGUAUAAUUGAGACCAGGCCCCAAGGGGAGUAACUAAAAAUAGAUUGUAAUAAAUUCAUAUUUUUCUCUUUAAUCACAUAAAACACAACUGUUCACUUCCUUUACUAAUAUCAAACUCUAUUAUUCUCUUUUUCAUUAAAAAAUCGAAGUACAAAUGAAUAAGAGGACAAUAAAUUAAAGUUAUUUUUCAAAGAAACUUAAGGUCUUUGUCUAAUCAAAUUGUGGAGGGUUUGACAAACUCAUUUGGAAUUUUAAAACACACUGUAAGGGUCUGUUUGAUUUGCUUAAAUAUGAGGAACAGAAAAUUUUGUUCUUUUUUGGAUUUUAAAAUGAUUAUAUGGGACAGAACAUACCUAUAAAUGAGGUACCGGAAAAACUCUAGAUUUUGUCAAUAAAUAUGGAACAACUUCUGUCCUAAGGACAACACUACCUAAAAGACCAAAAUACUCUUUUUCUACGUAAGAGUCAUUUUCUCUCCCUCUCUCUUUCACCCCAUCCACCCUCUCUAUCUUCCUUGUGCACCCAAGAGUGUUGUCAAUCAUUCAGGCAGUGAUACUAAAGGUGUGUUUGUCCUAGCUUAUUUUUGACUUCUCUUCUCCUUAUAAGAAGUUAGGCCAAACAGUAUUUCUAAAAUGAUCUUAAUCAAAAAAUGGGCAUAUCUUGUAAUUGUUAUUAUGAGGUAUGAGUUCAGACUUCAGAGACUCAUACCUACAGUACAACAGAAUUCAAGAGACUCGGCAAACAGAAAGAUAACCAUAACAAUAAAAAUAUUUCUAUCAUUCUCCAAAUAAAUGCCAUAUGUUCAGUCUUAAUUUGCAGACAAUUUAUUUAAGCAUUGCAAGGAAAAUAACUUUUCUAGAUCAAUUUAUCUAGAGUUCUUGGUGAAACAUGGGUCUGUCUCUUCGAUUCGGACUAAUCAUCUGCAAUAGGUUUCAAAGGUUUUGGAAAGAAUAUCAAUGUUAUACUUUUAUAGCAGUGUGAUGUUUUUUCUCUAGUGUUUUUGGUUGGAGUGUGGUAAAAAUGGACUUUCUCAGAGCCAAUUUGGUUUAAAAAUAACAUUUUUUUUUUAUUUUCUAUUUUUACUCUUAAUUCCAAAAGUGUCACCUUAUUUCACUCUGUAUAUACGUUGUUUUCAAUUUUCAAAAAGUAAAGAAAAGUUUGCAUCGCAAAAGGUCCUGAAUUUUUUGGUUGAGAAUCGUGAAUGAUUUUGCAACUCCAGCAAAGAAUAUUGUCCAUGUAAUUGUCUUAUCUCAUUACAACAACAACAACCAAGCCUUAUCCCACUAAGUGGGGUCGGCUACAUGAAUCAAACGACGCCAAAGUGUUAUAUCAAAAACCAUGUCUUUCUCCAACUCAUUUAUCUCUAGAUCCUUCCUAAUAGUUUCUCAUAUAGUUUUUCUAGGUCUACCCCUACUUCUAGUGAUCGGGCUGCCCUCCAUCUUUUCUCAUUACAUUACAUCUGUAUGGUACGGGAUUGUAUUUAUGGCUCUUCUUUGGUACCCCAUUAAGCUAUUUCAGAAUAACAUUUAUUACCACUAUGCACAGAAUUUUAAGAACUUGGUUGCAUUAUUCAGCCAUUUGACAUUGCCUAAUUCUUUACAUUUCAAUUCUAAAAGGAUGUCCUAUCCCUAGUCAAAUGUAUUUUACCUACUUUCUUGACAAUACUAUUUUCCUCUUUUAUCCAGUUUUGUAUAUGGCGGAAGGCCAAAAAUCUAAGAUGUAAAGAUGUCAUUGCGGUCAUCCAUUCACAAAUUGCCUAUGGCAGUUGUCGAAACAUUCUCCACACCAUAUUGCGAAGGCGGUACCAUGGCCACCAUUUAACAACAAUGCUUUUAUCAAUGUAAUAACAAGCGUUAAACUAACCAUGAUAGCGAAGCAUGACUAAUGACUACUUCUCUACUGUCCUACUAGCUCAACUUACAUGUAGUUCCUAUUCAAUGAUUAUCAUGCCAUCAUGUUCCUAUAUAAACUAUAACGUACAUUAUCACAUCUCAAAAUACUUCCCACCAAUCAAAAAUCUAGUUUUGGACUCUGUAGCACCGACACUUCUAAUCGAAGGCCAGUCUUAGACACCGGCACCCGUGAUUACGUAUCCGUGUCAAUGCUUCAUAUGUUUUGGAACACUUAAUGGAAGGCAAAACAGUUCAAGAUGCCACAACCAGCUUCAUACACCAACAAUUUCACACUAUCAAUACAUCAAAUAUCCAAAAUCCAUAACAAAGUAACCUAAACUUCAAUCAUUACCAAACAAAAUCCACUAUACAAAAAAUAAAAUUUAAAAAAAAACACCAAUUUUUACAACAAGAAAUUCGAACUACUCCAAAAUCAACAAUAUAUACAAAAUGCACGAAUUUUCACUACAAGAAAUUAUAAUUCAAAAAUCAAGAACAGAAACUAAUCAAAUCAAAAUUAUCAAAUCAAACGAAUUGAUAAGCAGAAGAAAAACCUGAAUCCGAAGUGCAGCAGAGUUCUGCUGACGCAACCACAAGCGUCGAUUCCGUUCCAAUCGCGUUUGUUCAAGAAGAUUCUUUCUAUCUCUUUCUUUCGAGCUACGACCUCCCAAAUCAACGCGUUUACGAUUUGAAGGAUCGCCACUGAAGAACAUCUUCGUUAACGCGAAUUCACGAAGUAAUUAGGGUUUCGAAGAGAAAAUGGGGAUGGGGGUGUGGUAGGUAGAAAAAGGGGAUUGUGAAUAGGAAAUGAAAUGAGAGAGAGUGAAUUGAAUAUUGAUUGAUAUUUGUGUAGUAUUUAUACGGAGAAAAGUGUAUGUGAAAAGAAGAGAGAAAAAAUAGGAAUCUUCGGUUAAGUGGGUGAUGAGAGGAAGGUUCUGAAAUAGAGAAAGCACUUUAAAUUGUGAUGAAGAUAAAAAAUUGUGUUUGGAAAAUAUGUAAAUCAAUCAAUUUGAUCAAUAAAAAGGAUUGUGUUUCUUGGUUUUCAUUAUAGUAUACAAGAGUGUACAAACUUGAUUAUACGAACUUAAACCCCAAAUUUGAUAACGUUAUUAAUUAUAUGAGAACCGUCGAGACGAAACUUUAAACCAAAAUUGUAAUUUUAUAUGUUGAUUUUAACACCCUCUGUUCAACAACUUUGUGACCAUGAAUCAAUGGAUCGACAAGUAGCAUAAUAAGAUAUUACCUUUUGACGCAUAAAUUUUGUAUUUAUUAUGUCAUUACGUGUUGUUCUACAUAAAGUAAACAAUCAUAAGAAAAUACUUUUAUUAAAACCAAAUUUCUAGCAUAAACUCGAAGAGUGCAAAGCUACCUUUAUAUUAGAAAGGUGCAUUUGUUUUAUUGCGUAUUAAUUCACUUUGUUUUUCAUGUUUGCUCAAUAUGUUAAGUUAAUAUGUGUGGUUGACGACCUAUAUAAUUUAAGACAUCUUUGAUGGUAUGCUCAAUAGAUGAAAGAUUGAGGAGAGAUCAACGGAGAGGGUGUAAGUUAGACACUACUUUAUAUGAUGUAUAAUGAAAUUAUGUAUUAAAGGAGACGAGAAAUGAUCUCUUCAAAAGCUGACAUUUAUUUAUCUUAUUUUGUAAUUAUUUAUUACAUGCACAAAUAAAAAAAUUGCAUUCAUAAUUUAGUUUUCUUUUCUCCCAAUUUGAAAUUUUCAGCAAUUUUUUUUUUAAAAAAAAAUACCUUAUGGAAGUUUUUUUUUUUUUAAGGAAAUACCAUGGAAGUUAACUAUUUGUUCGGGGUUAACAUUUAAAAUUAAAUACAAAGAGGAAAUAUGACUUUGGUUAAUAGACAUCAAUCGGUUCUUCAAAAAAAAAAAAACAUGAAUCGGAAACCAAGGGUAUGUCCGUGUGAAGCUGUCAAAUGGGAAAAAAAAAUUCAUUUCUGACCCCUAUGAGAAUUAUUAAAAAUUGAGAAAAAAUUUCAAUACCAAAAUUGAGAAUUAUUAGCGGCAAGGCAGUAUGCAUGGCUCCUGUUUGUGCACGGUUGCCCAGAAUAUGUGUCACAUUCUACCAUCACCGCCGCCAUUUUAUUUGGCCGUAAUGAGCACUACAACACAAAAAAACAAACAGAAAGAGGGUCAUUUAGGUUAAUAAUUUUGAUAGGGGUCGCAAAUGAAAAUCUUUUUGGCAAUAAGGUCAUAAAAAAAAUCGUUGACGUGGCUAGUUUAGUGAACCGGUUAGGUUCAAUACACAUAGAAGAAGAAAAAUGAAUAAGGUGGUCAAAAAAGUUAACCACGACGGAGCUAUGGUAGGCCUCUUGAGAAGAUGCUUCGAUAAUGAAAAACAUUCACGAAUUUUUGUAGAUGAAAUGAGAAGGAGUUUGAUUUGGUGUUACUUCAUAAUUUGACGUUAUGGUGGCCGAAAAUGGCCUCUGAAGGCGGAGUUGCCCUGAUAAUAGUGUUAGCAGUAAGUCAAUCAGUUGGAUUGAAGAGAUAAAUAUCAACUAACAGCCACCUCCUCCCACAUCAUGCUUACGCUACCAACAUAAGCACCAAACUCAAACUCACCUUUCUCUCCCUCUUUCUCCAUGGAAUUGAUUACAUCCUGAAAAUUCAACUUAGUUUCACACCCUCCACUGUUGAUUAACCAUAGUAAGAAGAGGGUGUUCUAGAGAGAGUAUGUAUUCAACAUAAACAACUAUGUAAUUUGCUUAUGGGAACAAUGGCUUGCUAGCAUUAUCAUUAUACAUUACAUCAUUUCUAAAACAAGUAUUACUAUUCAUAAAUUAAUAUUUGUUGGCAUUUUAUUGGUCACACUCACACGAAAAGAGCAUACAUAUUGGUCAAAACAACCAUGAUCAUGUUUACUUUCAGUUCGUGAUGCCAAAAAAAGAUAAAGGUAGUGAGAAAUGUACCGCAAUGGCUUGCUAGUUGAUGAUGAUGGAAGGAAACUGAGCAUAUAUAACGCAAUCACAACCGCAAUAAAAAUCAAUGCCAUAACCAGAGACACAUUUGACAACCAAGUAAGUUCACUAAUAACAGUGUAAAGACUAGCCAUGAAAGCCAAAGAUAACGAAAUGAGAGCGAUUCCAAGAAGCGGCAUGACCAUUUUGAGAGUAAAAGUUACCAAUUCAGUUAACCCAAGUGUUGCCCAAAAGAGUAUGAUAGUAGCACUAAUGGAACUGAACAACGAUAUUGUGAUGAAGAUAAUGAAAGCAUGGAACAUUGCAUGACAUAGGCUGUGUGCUUUUCCUUCUGCUUCACCUGGAACAGCUAAACAUGCUGCUACUGAAGCAGUGAUUAUAAGUGUUGAAACAAUUGUAAGGUUUUCUAUUCUGUCUUUAUAUCUUUCCAAUACUUUUUCUUUUGCUUCACUUUUUUGAGAUGCUUCUUUUUGGUUUUUAUCUGAUUCUUCUUUUGGUGAAUUUGAAUCACUUACUUGGUGUGCUACUCUUCUGUGCACCAGCAGAUUUAAGUGCAAUCCAUGUAAGAUGCUGCAAACAUUGUUAAAGCUAUGUGUCAUUAAAAAACAAAAGUAGAUGUCAAAUUAGGAUUAUUUUUUUAUGGUCACAAGAUCAAAAUAAAAAUGAUUUAGGCACAUACAUCAAAUUAUAUAUUGUUUACUUAUUUAUAAAAUAUACUUUGUUUAAUUCCUUUUUCUUUUAACUUUUUUCACUCAUGUGUGUGCGCCUGGAACAUUUAUAUUUAGGUUUGUGACCAAGUAAGAAUUGACCUGUUUAGCCAUUGAUUUAAAUUUACUUAUAUAAAUGAAAAAACUAUACAAGAAACUCAGUUAUAAAUUUGCAAGUUUGGACUUGAAUAGAACUAUUUGCCUGUCUUAAAGAUGAUUUAUCAAGCUCAAAAAGUGUAGUAACAAUGUCAAGAGCUGUUUCGUUGUUUUGGUUAACCAAAUCAAGUUUCACUCUCUCUUUGCUUUGGUUAACUAAGUAGUACACAGUUGUAGGAUGACAUGAUCUCGCAGCCAAAUGCAAAGGGGUAUCUCCUUUAUUAUCUUUUUGAUUUAUCAUCUUAUCAAGUCCAGGAAUUUGACUUUGUAGAAUGUAUUGCACCACCUCAUAUUUUCCAUAUUUUGAUGCAACAUGAAGAAUAUUACGUUUAUGAGAAGUGUCAAGCAUCUCUGUGGGAUCAGGACAAUAUUCUAACAACUUUUUCACUACUUCCACAUGGCCACCAUAUGAUGCUACAUGAAUUGGGAAAUAACAUAAUUUGUCCCUUUGAAUUGUGCAGCAUUUGCAUUUGUCAAUUAAUAAUUCAACACCUUCAAGGUAACCUAUAGAUGCUGCGUAAUGAAGUGGAAGCCUUUCAUGUUUGUCCCUUGAAUGGACCCAAGUUGGUUUGUUUUCUAAUAUGGUGCUGAGCAUUUCUGACACACAAACAUAAAUAUUACCCAUUUUGUCACAAGUAUACACAUAGUGUUAUCAUUCAAGUGAUUUGGACCGUCAAUCUAUCCUUAAGGGCACAGAUACCCUCCAGAAGGGCUCAGACGCCGACCCGAAGGGCUCAUGAGGCCCUAGGCGCGUCCUCCUAAGGGCGCCGCCUUAACAAGCUUAUAGAAACAUCUAGAAUGCUCUAGAGUGACUUAGGGCCCAAACUGCUUGGGGCUUAAGUCACCAAAUUACAAGCCCAAGAAGGGCGAUAAAUACCCCUCUUGAGAUCAUUCUCAAGGCUUCACGAAAACAGACUAAAUCCUAGUUUCUAAUAUUGCACUCACUGCAAGUACAUGAUUGAACAACAAUAUUAUGAUCAACGUACCGUUAUUAUGCUUCUGCAUCAGGAUAGCUGCUCCAACGGGCGACAAUCCCUCCGGCUUAACAUUCUGGGGGCAAUUUUUCAAGAUUAGUUCGACUGCAUCCUUGUCCCCUUUUACAACAGCAAGGAAAAGUACCGAUUCCUUUGCAUGAUUAAUAAUAUCUAAUGCAAAUUCAUAACAAGAAUUUGCCAAUGAGUAUCCAGACAAAUCUUCAGUUUUGUAAAGUUCACAAACUUUGAAAAUCAUACCCCUGCUCAUAUUGCUUUUGUCACUUAACAUUGCCUCAUGUAACAUAGUGUUGCCUCGAACAUUCUUCUCCUUUACAAAAUUUAACAAGUCCUCCAUAUUUGACUUUUCAUCAUAGUCUUCUUGGUCAUCCUUAUUUUUUUUAGUGUAUUCUAACCAUGCCAUUUUUAUAUCAUGCCGUUCAAUAUUCACAUAAUUUGCUAGUAGCUUUUCAACGGUUGAAAUGUGUCCACCAUUUGCAGCAACAUGAAAUGCACUAUCAUUGUUUUUGUUAAAUUUAAACAAAAGUUUUGGAACACGUUCAAUUACAAGAUUCACAAUUUCAUUAUUACCAUACCAAGCUGCAAUAUGUAGCACUGUAUUUUCCAUAGGAGUCUCAAUUUCAUUCAUUGAGGCUUCAUCUUGCAAUUAAAGAACAAUACUACAAUUAAAGAACAAUACUUUUCUCUAUUGACAAUAAAAAAAUAUAUAUAUAUAUAUAUAUCCUCCCUUUCUUGAUUAGGACGAUUAAACAAGUUGUGAAACUCGUGGAGAUGUAGUUAGGAAUAAUAUCAAUGGAAUGAAUCUAACUAAUGUCAUUUUGACACAUGCAUCGAAAUGAAGAUAUAAUGUGAAUCAUCCUUUUUUUUUUCUUUCCAGCAAAUGACUAGACAAGAACAACCUCAUGGAGGUAGGUUUGUCGCAAAAUUUGCAUAAUUGUAAUGAAAAUCCUGCAAGGAAAAGCAAAUUAUGUUUAUCACAUUUGAAAAAGUGAAUACAUUAGGGAGGAUUCGAGAUAAUCUCUGAGAUGACUAAAUUUAGCAAAUGCGUCAAAAUGUUUUUAAGUAAUAAAGUGAUAAGUAAGAUCGUCUUUACAUAAAUUGUCGUUUCAACUAGACAACUAUAACUAAACUUAUUAAAACAUAAAAUAGAAAGAAAAUAAAGAAAUAAAUAAAAGCGAGUAAAUUGGAGGGAGUAAAUAGACGACUAGUUUUGAAUGAUAGUGACUUAUUUAUUUCACUUUGUUUUGGAAAAUAUUUUGUUUUAUUUCAAAACAAUUUUAUUUUAUCAUUUGUUUUUUCUUGAUAAAUAUUUUAUGAUUGGUUAUUAUUGAUACUACCAUUCUAAAAAAUACAACAUUCUUUAUAAAUGUUAGGAAUACUAUAUAUAUUGUUCUUUUAUAAAUGGAUUAAAUAAGUUUUUUGUCCCUAUAAAUAUAUUAAAAUUUGAUUUUGGUCUCUAAUAGAUAUAAUUUUGACAUUUUUUGAGCAUAAUAUGAAUAUAUGAAGGUUGAACAUAAUAUGAAUUUCCCUCAAAAAAAAAAAAAAACGAACAUAAUAUGAAUACAAUUUGAACAUAAAAGUGUUAUAAUCUUGACAUUCACAUGAACAUAAAGUGCCCAUUAAGGAUCAAAAUCAAUUUUUUUUGUGAGGAUGAAAACAUCGGUUUGAUUUUUUAGGAACUAAAAUCAAAAUUCGUUAUAUUUAUAGGGAUGAAAAAUUUAUUUAAUCCUUUAUAGAUAACUACAUGUUCAUGGAAGAUGCAAGAAAAAUUAUGUUGAUGAUGUACGUGAACAUUUCAAGUUAUACUUUGCAUUUCAAGUUAUAUUUUGGUUCUGGUUUGUUCAAUAGGGAAAAAAUUGGAAAAAGGAAAGGGAAAAUAAAAAAUAAUUGAAUAAACUUCUACUUUUGUUGAUCUUACUAGAAUUGAAGAGUCUCAAAAGUCAAAACUUUGAGCUAUUGAUUUCAAGAGACAAAAAUGAGAACUUGAAAUACUAUGUAAAUAUGAACUUGUGUAAUUAAACUAUUUUUGGUUUAAGUGUAAUUUUUUACUUUAAGGAAAAUGUUAAUUUGUGCCCUUAGGACACAUGUUAAGAAUUCCGCUAAUAGAAAUCAUGUGUCGGAAAUUGUGUUAAUUUAUUGCUUAAAAUGUUUAAUAUUAAUUUUUUUUCAUUAAAUUCAUACCAUUAAUAAAAUGAAAUGAAUGUUUAACAUAGUAUACUUUAAGAGCACAAGUUAACUUCAUGGUUGCUUUAAUUAAUUGAAACUAGUUUUAUGUUUUGGGAAUGAUUAGCUAUGUAUCAUAUUACUUGGAAUCCAAUAUUGAUACUGGAAUCAACUUGGAAAGGAAGAUAAGCACUAAUGGUAUCAAACAAAUGAUGUAGAAGAGGAAUGGUAAAAACUUCUCAUCUCCCUCGCUUUUCUUGGAAUAGAAUUAAAAACGAAUUUUAAAAGUACUCUCUAUCAUGUCAAAGUUUUACAUGAUUAUUAAGAAAAUGAUUAACAAUGUUAUAUUUUUGAUAGUUUUUUUUUUAAGAAGCUAAAUUAAUCCACCCAAAAUAGUACUAGAGAGAAUCGAAUCUGAGACCUUGAGGAGGAGCACAUUUUUGAUAGAUUUUAACAAUGUUAAAUGUAAUGAUACAAUAUAUAUCAUUUACUAAAGGGAAUUGCUAUAUGAUGCGAGAAAUAUACACGCGAAUGACACACGAAACAUUUUUUUUUAUUGAAAUGACACACGAAACAUGGAAGGUAGUUGUAUUAUAUUUUCAAAAUAAAUAAAAGUCAAAGUAAAUGCCAAUCUAAUCCAUAUUCCAGGACUUCCGUUUAUUCGUUGCUUUUCGUUGCCAUGUUGUCGCACUAUCAAUCUUUUUUCUUUACUAAAAUAUUAUUAUUAAUUAUAGUUUGUGGAGUAGUUAUAGAUUAUUGAAAUGUACUCCCUUUGUCCCUAUAUAUAAGCACCAUUUAACUAAAAAUUUGUCCCUAAAUAUAAACUGUUUUUUAAAUUACUAGAUGCUUUUUUUUUUAACAUACCCCUAAUUUACUAACUUGUCUUGAAAUAUGAAAAAUCAAAUUUAAUACACAUACAAACAAAAACAAUUUGGUAAGAAAUGUGAAAAAGGCAAAAAGAACUUAUAUAAGGAGAGAGUAAUAAAUAAGGAUAUGUUAGUGAAAAAAAUUAUAAAUGACAUAAAUAAGUUAUUGUCUUAGUGAUGGCGACUAACUAACUCAUGUUUAUAACAUAUAACGUGUUUGUUUCAGAGGCUCAAAAAUAUUCUUAGGUAAAGUUGAACAUUCAACUUUAUGCCGUAUGAAUAUUCAAAUUUCCUUUGAACAACCAAUUUAGUUGACAAUUAUGUGACAAUCAUAAUUUACAAAGAAAAAUAGGUAUUUGCACGAAAACCAAGACAAUAGAGAGAUAAAAUAAAAAAUAAUAUGAGUAUGAGAGAAAAAGUUGUCACAAAAAUUGUUACCAAAUGGAUGUUCAAAUAUCAUUUCUCUAUGUUUAUAUGCGUGACACUUUUCUAGUACCAAAAUUUCCAGUACCAAAAUACUUGACUAUUUUAUAUAUUAUUGUUAUAAAUUUUUUUGUUUUGUUUUGAAGAAGUGUUAUAAAUGUUGUGAUCAAAAGGUAUACAUGAAGGCUUGAUGGUUAGUUAGAAUCAUAGUUUGUUAUAAACGUAAAUAUCUCUCUUAGUUGGAUUUAAAACAUUGAUUCUCAUUUGGUGUGGUAAGCUACUUCGUGGAGUAUUUGGUUGAUGAAGAAUGGCUAUUUUUUUCACUGGGAAUGUGGCAAAUGUGAAAGAGAGAGUUGAUAAAAAUGAUUGUCUCAUGUUUCAAAUUAUACUCUUCCCCAUUCUGCUUUUAAAUUCCUUGUUUUCCCAUACUUUUCUAUUAUGUCUUCUACAUUGUAUUCUCACACUCUUCUACUAUGUCGAUUAUGAUCACCACUUGAUCAAUUUUAUCUAACCAUCAUUAAUUGAUUAACUUGAAUACUAAGGGAUUAUUAACCUAAUCUAACCCUUUGAUUUGAAUUAAUGAUCAUUGUUCAACCCAACGGCUAAUUUAUAGAUUUCAAAACCUCAUAAUCGAUCAACCUAUCUAUCUAUCUUUUUUUAUGAACAAGAGUAUGAUUAAACAUCAAUGUAAAACCUGGACAUCCCAACUCUGCUACCCACUCAAACAUAUAUUAUUAAAAAAAAGAAGAAAAUAUGUACAAGAGGGGGGACCGAACCAAAACCCACAAAAAAGGCCAAACUCGAGCACAAAAGAAAAGCAAAAUUAAGGAAAAGAAACAUCCCUAAGGGAAAAUGUUGAUGUUUAAUCACCCUUGAGGAGGAUUAACCACAGCUGUCUCCUUGGCUAUUUGAGUUUAUGGAACAAAUUCCUCUUGUGAUGAUGUGGCCUUGUUAUGAUUUUUGUCCAUUUCAGGCAUCAUCAUAUGUUUCAACAAUCGGUUCAUCAAGAAUGUUUGACUGGUUUUGGUUUUCACCAGAAGUUUCAUGUUGUGGGUCAUCAUUCUCAACAUUCAUGACAUGCAUCGGUGGCGGUGGUGGGGAGGUAUGCUGAGACAUAGGUUCCAAGAUUGGAGAGUUCUCCUCACGAUGCUGAACCAUCACGGGAGUGUCAAUCCUUUCUGAUCCUUCAUGUACUUGCCUUACAAUGUACUGUUCAACAGAAUCUUCCAAAGUAUGAUCAUACCUUGCCAUGAACCAAUUUCCAGCAAAUACAGUCUGAGAUCCAUGUCUUUGCCUAGCUGCAGCUGGUUGAGACUGAUUAAACAACAAAAUACAGAAGUCAAGUCUAUGAAACACAUCAGUGACAUGUGAUAUGCAGAAACUCCAUGCUGCUCACAAACAUAAUCGAUAUCUGAAGAAGUCAAUUCUUACCUUUGAAUUAUAAGCAUCUUCCGAAAUAUGAUCACGCCUUAUUCUGAACUGCUUUCUAAAAAUGGAAGACUGAGCAUGUCUUUGCCUAACUGCAGCUACAGAGUGAAAUCCAUGUGUUUGUCUAACUGCAGCUUGUUGAGGCUGAUUAAACAACAACAGACAGAAGUAUGAAACACAUCAGUGAUCAGUGACAUGUGAUAUGCAGAAAUUCCAAAGCAGAUCACUGCCUUUCAAUUUAUUUUAAAUCAACAACACAAACAUAAUCGACAUCUGAAGAAGUCAAUUCUUACCUUUGCAAGUGGUAUCAGGAAAGGGGCCUUCUUUACAAUUUUAUUUGCUCGUGUAUUUGCUAUAGAAGCCUGUGGAGAAAAGAUUAUAUAACUACCAAAUUAAGAUUAUCAAUCAUUUCACCUAAUAACAAUAGUAGGGAGAGAGCAUACCUGAGAUAUGAAAAAUCCAUUAACCCCGUCAGCAUGGAAAUCACUGGGGGAUGUAAACUGUCGUCUGUUGUUCCAAUCGUGGAGCUAAGGGAAGAAAAUAAAAAAGUAAGUUAGGAAAAAGAUAAAAGAUAAACAAUUUAUAUGCAUAUGGUUAUGGUUAUUGGAUGUAAAUGCAUAUGGGUCCAUCUUCACGGAAUAGAUCAAGAGGAAAUUGCAGUAUGAAGAAAUAUUAGAACAGUGAGAAAAACCUCAAAAUAUCUCUUAUUAAAUAGAAAAAGAGUAUUAUUGUCGAGAAAAGAGUAAAAUCACAAUUACAGGAAGGAUAACUUCAAAGAGAAAUAUGAAAAAAAGAAAACAAUAAGGGGAAAAAUAAUAAAAAAAAUGUAGUAGAUAUGGGUGUCCAGUCUCUGGUAAAAUGCCGUAAAUAAGGGUGUCCAGUCUUUGAUAAUUAUGGCAUUGCACUGUAAAAACCAUAAAUAAGAAAAGAUCGAGAAAGCGAAGCUCCAAGAGAUGCCUUUGAAGAUACACAAAAUAUGACAAUAUCAUGAUAGCCUUUUAGCCCAAUGGAGAGGAAAUAUAAAACUAAAUAUACAACAACUGAGAUUGAUUCCACUCUUCUACCUGGGACAGGAGUUCAGAGAUGACUAUGCUAACCCUCUGUUGAAUGGCUUCAAUAGACAGCUUUUUACUGCUUGUCCUAACUGGAAUAGAUCUAACUGAAUUAGCAGAUGAGGUAUGAUUUACCUGCAGUAGCUGCCACAGAGCCUGCAAAAGAGUAAAAUGACUGAAACUAACUGUAACUGAAAAAUGUUACAUUUAUAUGAAGCAAUAUAAGGAAUGUAAGCAAUAUUAUAUUUAAGGGUCAUUACCCCCAGUUUUAACAAACAUAAACUCUCCAGUUCUUUGGACAAGUGGGCACAUAAACUUGCAAAGAUUUGACACAACUUAUCUGGAUCUUCCUUAAAGUGAAAGGAAGAAAAGGUCCCAUUUCAGUGAACAAUUAAUUAAUGAGCUUCUUUCCUAAGGAUUUCAAUCUCAGAACUCUCAACAAAUUUUCAUAAAAAAUAGAUAAUCUAUUUCUCAAACAUUACCUGCUUCAAUAGAAUGAUGAGGCUGCUCAUAUCCUUCAGUGAUAGGGGUUUCUCCUGCUCAUAAAAUUUCUCAUUACCAACCAUCAUAAGCAUAUGCCUGAUCAGAAAAAGAUUAGAAUAUACUUCAGUCUUCACGCUCAAACGAGACUGAUUAGAUUUAAGGAAAAUUGAAGGACCAUGGGCGUUCAUACACCAAUACAAGUACUCUCUCCCAAAUUAUAAGCAAAAGAGACCCACUUUUGACCUAUUUAAUAUUUCUCCAAAAAUACACUUAUGCUACUUAUUGGAGAUACCCAUAUGUUUAUGCAUUUACAGUGUAUCAUCCAUAUGUUUAUGUAGUUCCAAAAACAUGCCUAGUGUGAAAUAAUUUUGUUUGGCCUCUACAUUAAUUAUUCAUCAAUUACGAAUGCAUGUGAUCAUUAAUAGCACUAUCCUUGGAAUAAAACCCUUUCAGUAUUAAAGAAAAGUUCAUGCUUUUUAACAUUAAAUAUCUUUAAGGUUAGAUUCGGAAACAUGGUUACUUUUUUGGCAAAUUCUAGAAUAUUAAAUAAGAAUUGACUGGUUUUCUUAGUAAGUGUGAAAUGAUUUUUUUUGCUUAUAAACUGGGGAGUAUAAAUGCAUAAAAUUUCUUACUUGUAGACAGGACAGAAUACACCAAGAGGUAAUAGCCAACCAGGGGCAUCCCCUGAGAGGUAUGAUAACUGCUUAGACAAAGAUGACCAUUUUUUAUUCGCUUGGCACCGUUUCAUAAAUUUCCAAAGCAUAGGAACAAGGUCAGUUCUGUAGGCAAGCACAGUCAUAAUACUUUCAAGUGGCAAUGUGUUCAAGAUAACAUAUAACAACCCACAAACUGCACCAACGGCUGCAACCUCCAUAUCAUCU
rnacentral:lncRNA from 1 species